CCCUUAGAUGUCCUGGGCCGCACGCGCGCUACACUGAGUGUCUGAGAUACGAGUCUGCCUGGUCCGGCAAGGUCUUGGUAAUCGCUAAAAGACACAUCAUGCUUGGGAUAGAUUAUUGCAAAUAUUAAUCUUGAACGAGGAAUUCCUAGUAAGCGCAAGUCAACAGCUUGCGUUGAUUACGUCCCUGCCCUUUGUACACACCGCCCGUCGCUACUACUGAUUGGAUGUUUAAGCGAGGUUCUCGAACUGCUAGCGACUUAGCUUCGGUGAGGUCGCAGUGUGGGAAGUGAACCUAGCUUUGGUGUCUAGAGGAAGUAAAAGUCGUAACA
rnacentral:rRNA from 1 species